rfam:Aedes albopictus isolate Foshan contig66689, whole genome shotgun sequence.
UGUUCUGUGGCUUAGUUGGUUAAAGCGCCGGUCUAGCGAAUACGGAGUCGUGGGUUCGAAUCCCACUAAAACGC